rnacentral:rRNA from 1 species
UACAGAGGGGGCAAGCGUUGUUCGGAAUUACUGGGCGUAAAGGGCGCGUAGGCGGCCUUCUAAGUCGAACGUGAAAUCCCCGGGCUCAACCCGGGAACUGCGUCCGAUACUGGAAGGCUUGAAUCCGGGAGAGGGAUGCGGAAUUCCGGGUGUAGCGGUGGAAUGCGUAGAGAUCCGGAAGAACACCGGAGGCGAAGGCGGCUUGCUGGGCUCGGUCUGACGCUGAGGCGCGAAAGCGUGGGGAGCGAACAGG